AAGAAAAAUUAUGCAAAUGAAGCGAGCGCCUUGGAAAGCCAGUCCAAAUCAAGUAGUUGCCUCUCCUCCUCCUCCCCCAACAUCCCAAAUGAGGGAGUCCGUCUGGAAAAUAAUAACGUUAAUAAUGCCUCGUUACUAAUGCGCCGUCCCAAAAGGUGUUUUAGGUCCUUUUCUUAUCAUUUGCCCCGCGUCCUAGAUAGAAGUUAUGAGUGCAAGGAGAUUUUCGGAAUAACAAAGGGAUACUGAGAGCUGCAUUUCAAUUUCCAUGGGAGAUAAAAGAGCUUCAAUAGGCGGCUUAAUCAUUAACCUACUUUUUCUUCAUCUCUCUUUUUUUUUCUUUUACUCUCAGAAUUUUCUGUUUUGGCGCAAGGACGUCCAGUUCGUUUUCAUUUCAACGUGAACCCGCUAACCAUGAAGGAAAGCUGCAGGCCAGCCAGUGCACGUUCUGAUCAAAGCUCCUAAAUAUUAAAGGAAAAAAAGGAAAAAAAAAACACAGCAGCUCGUGCACGGGGAUGAAAAAUGGGCAGAGGUUUCAACACCAAAAAGGCCAAAGCGGGAGGACACGCAGCGUGGAGCAGAGGAGAAGAAGGGAGCCGGGGAAUCCCUCUGCAUGAACCAGACUGAUGUAAAGGCUUGUGAAACUGAAUGACCGUGCCCUGCAGGAUGAUCCCACCCUACCUGUCGCCACCGCACCUGAACUUUCCCCUGACCCGUGCAGAGUUGAGUGGCAAGUCAGACAUUCAAGCAUCGACUUUGAUGCAUUUCCACAAAUCAAGCCUCCUUAUCUCUGUCAGCACGGAGAGGAGCUGCAGGCGCAGAGACCCCCUGGAUGUCGGCCAGACGACGGGCCAUAUCUUCCCACAAUGUUGACACUCGGAGCUCUUAACAGCCAGGCUUGGGUUACCGAGCCCCUCAGCCGAAGAUAACUGCUGCAGUGAGGUUUACAUCGGCCAACAUCAAGACUAAUGUGAAAUUCAACGCCUCGAGCUGAGUGGAGCCAUCUCUAAUUAACCCCAGACAAACACUGCAACCAACGAAGACAGAACAAGUGUUUGCUUGGAUGUGGAUGUAAUAAAGCAAGUUGGAUUUUCUUGUA